AUGCCUGUGCUAGUCCACUGGUCCCAGGAAAAGAAUGUGAAACACAGGAAGCAGAGCUUUCCCAAAUGGUAAAGCAGGAAGAAUUUUUGACUCAGAUCAACUUGAAACAGAUUACAGACUGGAGGAAUUUGUUUUCUGCCAACUGGAAAGUGUACCAAGGGUCUCCAAUCUUCAAUGAUCAAAGGCAUUAAAGCAUUGUGGAGCAAUGAGGAAACAGCACACAGAAAGCAGCAAGCCAGUGUCGGGGAUAAUUGCACUGGGACCACCUGCCACAGCCCUCCUGCCAUGUCAUUUCAGACUGAGCAUUAUAAAGUGUGAGCUGGCGAAGGACGGGGUGGCCCUUUGUGUGGAUUUAGUACACGAAUCUGCCGCAAGUGUCCAUCUACAGCCAUGUCUCCCAGGUCGGGCAGCAAGACACCUCAUGGCAGAUCCCAGAUUAUAAAUCAUUUGGGGUAUGCAGCCCUCAGUGAUUGCUCCCAUGAUCAACACCUGCUUUUCAACAGCCCUGGGCUAGCAUCCCAGAUUGAUUAAAUGACAUACCUGACCACUGCCCCGAAGGAAAGAAGUGCAAAGUGAGCCCUGGGCCUGUGUCCCAGAGAAGCUACAGAGGGCCCUGGCAGGCCUGGCGUCAGGAGACAGGCCGCCCUCACACCCCAGGAUCUCUGUGCACAUUCUACAUCAAGGCCUGCUGUCAUCAGAAGCCCGAAGCAGAAAUGUGACCACCGGGCAAGGAAGUAAGCAUUGAACUUGAACAGAAACUCUCUGCUUGGUGGAUAUUCCAUCUCCCCAGACCCCCCUUCUAGAUAAAACCCAAAGGAUGAAGCUCCAGCACCCUCUGACUCUAGAAAAGUCAGAGGAAACCCAGAUAUUCCCACAGUAGCAGAAAGACCUUUCUUGAACGGCUUCUAUCUGAAUGAGUAGACUGGGAAGAGCCAGCCCUCCCUCCAUGGGGCUUGCUGAGGCUUUCCUGAUCACUGUCCUCCUCACCAGUGGAUGGUGAGAAACACCAGACCUGGAGCUACCAACCCCAGCAAGUGCACUCCCUGCCGCCGGCUGGCUGCAGUCACGGCACAAUCAUCCUCAGGUAGGAAAGGGCUAUCCAGUUCAAUUCCCUUUCUGGUCUUCUUCAUCAUAAGGAUGUUUGACUUUAUUGCCUUGGAAAAUGGGGGAAGGUGAAUUCAGAGCAAAAUAAAUAUUUCCUAAUUUUAAAUAAAUAUUGCUAACCACAGUGAUUGUGUUCCUGAGCCCAACGCAGUGAGAGAAAUACAAAGAUCAAAAUUAGAAGGAGAAAAGAGAAUAUUUACAUGUUUAAAUAUGAAUCCAAAGUUUGAAUUUAUUGUGUUCAAAGCAUCUGGUCUGAUUCUGUAAAUGUCACUGGCUGCUGCUCACUGUCUAUCCAGCACUACCUAAAUGGCAGCAGAGAAGCUGGCCCUUCCCUGUGUCCAAAUCUGAAGGUAAAGAUCAAGGACCUCAGCACAGCAAUAACAAUGACCGUGUUCCAUUGAACACCUUUAUUCUGCAUUUCUAGCCAAGAAAUGAAAGUUAUCUGAGAGGUGGGAGGUUAAUGCUCUAUAUCCCUCCCCUAGGCUCCCCUGACCUUGUUCUAUUUUCUUUUCUUUGUUUUUUCCUGCGGUGUGGUUACCAGGGAUUGAACUCAGGGGCACUCAACCACUGAGCCACAUCCCCAGCCCUAUUUUGUAUUUUAUUUAGAGACAGGGUCUCACUGAUUUGCUUAGCACCUUGCUUUUGCUGAGGUUGGCUUUGAACUUGCCAUCCUCCUGCCUCAGCCUCCCAAGCUGCUGGGAUCACAAGUAUGCAUUACUAUGCCCGGUCCAUUUCCUUUUCUUGUUGCAGAAUGUUUACAGAAUGUGCACCCUAAAGAGUCUGGGGUAUCACUGAGCCUGAAAGGCCUUUUGCCUUUAGGUAUGUACAGUAUAGUGGGAAGAAGGGAGAUAAGACUGCCUGCUGUCAAUGUCAUCCAGAGAAGGUGACAUUCACUAGGAUGUAUGACAAAUACAGAAAGUGACAUAAAGUCUAUGAUGUAUGUAUAUACUUAUAUAUAUAUAUUCCAUUUCUUCACACAUAGAUACAUGUGCUAUUAUCCCUCCAAAUUUCCAUAUUGGACUCCUGUUAACCAUUAAAACAAGUAUCCUUUAAAAAAAAUAUGGAGCACAUGGUAUAAGUUAAGCACUGUGUUUUUGCUUUAGUGAACAUCAUCAUGAGUCAGUUCUGGAAGCAUUGUGUGAGAUGGAGGUUUUACCUUAAAUACAGAGAAUAAAGCUGUGCUCCCAGAGAGAAUAUAAUCUUCCCUGGUUACCGUUAUACCAGCCUACGUCUGCUCUUCCUUGAAAGUGAUUUGAAGUAAAUAAAUGAAAUGGCCAUUUAUCCCUAACAAUACAAUGGUACUUUUGUACCCACUCUGAACAACUAACUGGGUGAACUCCUUGAAAGAAAACACUGGAAGGGAGUUUGGAGAUCUACAUACUUACCACAAAGGGCACGUGCAAUGGAGAGAGAGAGAAGAGAGGUUGUAACAAGGACUGGGAGCUCUUGUGUCCACAGUGGACACAAUUCCAUUGUCCAGGGCAGUAAAGAAUUAUUCAGAAUUAUUCUCACUUGGAAAUGCCAACUUCCCUCCUGCACUGGUGAGGAAAUCAAGGCCCAGAGUUGAGUCCUGGAUUCAAGCUCUUCCCUCUUGGUUCAGAAUAGUCAGUUUUCCACAGAUGAGCCAUGGGAGCAAUAAUACAUUAAGGUAGCUAGACAGACACACAGACAAAUAUUUCAAUAUUGUGCCUGCUCUCCUGUACCAUCCACUUCUGUUAAUUAGCUCUGAAAAUACAUGGCCAUUCCUUAUACCUGCCUGCCUCUUGGGGAGAAAUAUAAUUCCUAGCAGUAAUUUACGUCUAUCUUUUUCUGUCCUUCUGAGUUAGGACUUCCUUUUUAGAACCUGAAUUCACCAGGAAACUUCAAAUCACUCCAAAUAAUGACCCUUCGAUUCAACCAACACCUAUUGAAUGUUGUUGGACCCUGAGCUUGGCCCUCAUCAGUACCUUGUUUCAUGUAAUUGCAACUCAACCCUGCAAAGCAGAUACAAACUCCAGCAUACAGGGACCCACGUCGUCAAAAGAGGAGUUGCUGUUAGACUUGUCUCACUGACAUCAAGUGGCCCAAGGGAGAAGAAGAGAGAUGAAGGGCCAAUCACAGGAGGAGUUAUGGAACACACAGAGAAACUGGAAAAUUCAAAAUUAAAUUUCAAGGGUAAGAAUGUACUGACGGGACCAAUUCACUCAGAACCUGAGAAAAAUACACUCUUUGUGAUGAUAGAUGAGGCUAAAAUUCCCCAGGAAUUUAGUUUUGAUCCUAUUGGUGAACAACACCUAACCUCUUUGGAGGACUCAGGUUUUCCCUGUUUCUACAUACCCCUAAAACUCUACUUCCUAGAAAGUAAGCAAAGGAUCCCUAACUUGUGACAGGGAUAACAGGAAGUUCUCAUGGAAUUGGCAUGACAAUGGGUACAAAUAUAGUGACUAGAGACAUCCUCUGCAGGAGAAAAAGAACGCAACUCUGUCACAAAAUGGGUUUUGUCUUGUGAAUUACAGAAGAAGUUCUUGGAUGGAGCAGGGAGGAAGGAAAGGAAGGAAGCUGGGGUGGGAAAGGAAAGUGUUGUUAUUUUCUUUUUCUGGGGCUAAGGGACAACCACAAAUUGGAUUUGCUCCAGUGCUAUGGGCAACAGAAACUCAAACAAGCCUUGGGGGUUCCUGAAGUGUGUUCGUGGACUUGAGCUCAUCUUAAGCUAGACACAGGGAUUUGAAGACUAAGAUCUGAACAGAGGUCAGGUCCCUUUGACCCACUUACUCUUCCUUUAGGUGUUUCCAACAAAUUCCAGGACCAUUCUCUUAACUACCAGUUUUGUCCCCCAAGUCACCUCAGUCUAUGACCUUCUUUUGGAGACAGAGCUCCAAUUGGUUCCAGAAUUUUUUCUGUUCUCAAUUGGACUUGAUUGAAGCAACAGAAUAUGAUCUUUUUAUGGAUGUGAAGGACAUUCCAGCAUGGUGGCUCUUGUUGUUCAUUUAUAUAUAAGGUUUUUUCUCUCUCUCUCUCUCUCUCUCUCUCUCUCUCUCUCUCUCUCUCUUUUUCAAUGAAUAAAAGCUUCAUCUACCUUUAAGAGUGACCUUGACAGAUCUGCUCAAACAAUGAGCCCUCACAAAUCUGUUUCUCAGUAACAACAUGUUUAUAUGAGAAUGCAAAGGCUAAUCUGAAUAAUCACCUCCUCUGAAAAAUAUAGAGAGAAAUGAAACCUCUCUCCUUUAUAGUAUUAGGUUUCAUGGGUAAAGCCUGUGAAUUCAGCUAAUAAAAGACAGAUUAACAGGAGAAAAUAAAAUGAUUUAUUUAUGUGUGAAAUGCAAAUCCAUAUGGGAGAACUUAGUGAUGAGUUAUGCAAAAGUGUAACUAGAAUUGAGAUCUUCUAUACCAUCCUAACAAAGGGUAAUGAGUAUAGAGAAGAGGCUGGAUAAAGGGAAAGGGGCUUAGGGCUUGGAAGGGUAAAUUAUGGAAAGCAUAUUAGGAAAUGAUCCCUGUACUAAGAAGCAAGGGCUGUUGAAUAAAAUUAUGCAGAUAAGAGUCAUUCUCUAUUUUCUGGUAGAGGGGAAUGGAAGACCUUUAUAAUGACAAUGUAUUCAAUUUUCACAAAGAGAAAUUCAUGUCCUGUUUUUAGACAGAAGGGGAGUGGGUAGAGAGAGCUAAUUGCUUCCAGCUCAAAAUAAUCCCUGAAAUUUCCCAUUUGGGGGUGGCAUUCUCUGAUCUUCAGUAACAUAACUUUGAUGUUAAUUGACACUGAAAAACUCUCAAAUAUUUUUUGACAUCUUGUCCUCAGAGAUCUGUCUGCCUCCAGUCUUAAGGAAGAGCUCAAAAAAUUAAGAGGUAUGAAGGUGUGGUAUGCCCAGAGUGGGUAUUUCUACCCAGCUGGAGAUCAGAGAAGGGUUAGGAGAGCAGGUCAUGAAUGCUGGCAGGGUUGUCAGGAGGCCCUCCACAUAUUUUCUAACUUGCAGUGAGGAGUCAGCUAAGGUUCUAAAGUUGAUAAAACAUCAGUUUAGUAUUUUAGUUUUGGUGAUGUUCCUGGAAAGAGGAGAAACUAACGAUAGAAGGAUGAGACAAUCUUUCAUUUUUGAAGGGAAACACCAAGCACCUGCAGUGUGUUGGGUGCUCAGCCAGGUAGGGAGGAUGAGCUGAUAGUGAGACCAACACCAUUACUAUCCUCUCUCUCCCAGAGCUUGCAAUCUAGUGGGAUAUGGGGACAGCAACAGAUACCGCUGAUGGUCCCAACCGGCUUCCGCAAACCACACAGGGCAUGUUUUCAAAGUAGAGAAUCUGAGGUGUGUGUGAAAUAUGAAGAGGUUUGAGGGACCCAGAAGCAACAUCCAUUCCCACCAGCUUAAACAUGGAAACAGAACUUGUAAAACUAAUUUGAUCUGGAGAAAAUCUUCUUUCCCAUUCAUCAACUAUGAGUUACUACUCAGAAGAGAACAUUUCCCCUGAGUGAGAGGAAAGUGUCCAAGUAUCAGUGCCUAAGUGUUAAGCCCAGAUCUGGGCUGCAGCAUGUCCCCUUCAUCCACUAGGUAAAGAGUAAAAUGCCUGAAACACAAACCUAGGCCUGAAUUCCAUUUGUAAAACUCACUACCUGUAACUCUCUGCUAUGAUUUGGAUGAAUGUCCCCAAAGGUCCAUAUGUUAAAGGCUUGGUUCCCAGGGUGGCACUACUGGGUGGUGAAGGAACCCUUAGAAGGUGGAGCUUAGUGGGAGGUUCUUAGAUCAUUGUUGGUGUGCCCUCAAAGGGGAGAGUAGGAUCCCAGUCUCUUCUUUCUCUUUUGCUUUGGGCUUAUGAGGUAAGUGGUUUGUUCUGCUAUGUACUCUUGUCAUAAAAUGUUGCCUUGACACAGGCCCAAAACAAUGAGGCCCAUUGGUCAUGGACUGGAACCUUUAGAACUAUGAGCCCAAAUAAACCUUUUCUCUUUACAAGAUAAUUAUCUCAGGUACUUCAUUAUAGUGAUAGAAAACUGACUAAUUCGGUGAUGCAAUUCUAGAGAAAAGAUGGUUAUUUUUUGCCCAGUGUUUCACAAAAGUCAGUGAGAGAUCUGACAAAGAACCAUUUGUUGACCAUCAAUUUACUAGUGAUCUUUUUUGUAUCCCUUCCAGAGUCCAAAAGCUCCUCACCUAUGGAAACCAUCGAUGCUUCAUUAAUAUUAAAUUCCUUUAAUGAAAUUAACAUAUUUUAUGUUUCCCUAAUUCAGCAAACCCUCCUUCUCUUUCUAUUCUGCUCCAAAUGGGUUAGCUAGUCCUUAGCAAAAAUAACAGGUUUAUUGCUUCAGUUCCCACAAUGCACAUGUAUUUAUUAGGUCCUGCCUUAGAGCAUAUUCAAACAUUUUCUAUGAUCAUUUUUUGCAAAUGUCAGAGAUCUGACAAUUCAACUUCAGAUGACUCUUAACAUGCAGACUACCAUUCAGAGCCAGGUACCCCCAAAUUACAAUAUUUCAGUGCCUUCCAGGUACUCUAUAUGACCUGCUAAUUAUCUGUCAAAAUGUGGGCAUCAGACACAAAUCAAACAGGUUUAAAAAAAAAAAAAACUUGAUCCAAUCUCUGCCUUUUCUAGUUUCUAAGCCCCUGAAAACCAUAUACAUCAAGCCCAUGUCUUGGGCUGGGACAGUACGUAUUUUAAUGUAUUCCCCAAAGCCCACAUUCUCUGCAAAGAACUGUUUCUUUUGCUGCUGGAAUUAACAAGCCAAUUCACUUUCCUCAUCUGAGAACAUCUGAACGGUGUGUAGCUGACCUGGCCCUUCCUUUCUGGAGGGCGUGUUGCAGUGCCAUGAUAAGAAUGUCUCUUGAACUUGAACAUAGCACUUUCUGCUUGGAGGGGACUCCUGACGAAGCUGUCUGAUUCCAUUUAUCCUGUCCUAUGUGGAUACCUGUUCGAGAACACAAGAGCUGCCUUUGAUAUUUAAGCUUCAUUUCACUUACUGAAUUCCAGGAAAGUUCUAACAUUUGGUAAGCAAACCAACUUCAGUUACUACUACUCAUCAGUCAGACAUUCAACUAAUUUCUAUUAAGUGCUGACUCUGUACCAGGUCCUAUGCUAGAUAGAGUUAAUAAAGUAAGUAAACAGACUCUAAAUUCUAGAGUAGUUAACAAUAUUUUUGGAGGAUUUUAUAUGACAUUAGUGGCCUUUUUUUGAUAAGAGUUUGGAGUACACAACCAAUAUCCUCAAUUGUAAUAGGUAGUUCACCAAUUUAAAAAAAAAUGAAAGCAUGUUCUUAUAUGCUAAUGUAUCUCUAUGAGAACAGGGAGUUUUGUCUCUCUUAUUCAGGCUACAUCCCUAGCACCUUUACUAGUAUCCAACUCAUAGUAGGUUCUUAAUAAAUAUUUUAUUUUAUUUUUUUUUGUAGUGCUGAGGAUUGAACCCAGUGCCUCGUGCAUGC